GCUUGCAUUCUACUACUGGGCAAGCUAGAGUUAUGGUAGAGGGGAAGGCGGAAUUUCCCUACGUGUAGUGGGUGAAAAUGCCGUAGAUAUUUAUGAGGUACACCCAGUUGCCGACAGGCGGCUUUUCUGGACUCAAAAACUGACGCUGAGGCUCGUAAGUCGUGGCGAAGCAAACAGGAUUAGAUAGCUUGGUAGAGCACCCUGUAUACGAUGAAUACUAGGUGUACGGGGGUAUCAACUCCCUCCUGUGCCGCAGCAAACGCAGUAAGUAUUCCGCCUGGGGAGUACGGCCGCAAGGUUGAAACUCAACGGAAUUGACGGGGGCCCGCACAAGCAGCGGAGCAUGUGGUUUAAUUCGACGCAACGCGAAGAACCUUACCAAGGCUCGACAUCCUGCUAAGCUCAUGGAAACAUGAGGUCCCUUCGGGGGAGCAGAGACAGGUGGUGCAUGGUUGUCGUCAGCUCGUGUCGUGAGAUGUUGGGUUAAGUCCCGCAACGAGCGCAACCCUUGUCGCCAGUUACCAGCAAGUAAAGUUGGGGACUCUGGUGAGACUGCCGGGGACAACUCGGAGGAAGGUGGGGACGACGUCAAAUCAUCAUGCCCCUUAUGUCUUGGGCUACACACGUGCUACAAUGGCUGUAACAAAGGGAAGCGACCUUGCAAGAGGAAGCGGAUCUCAGAAAAGCAGUCCCAGUUCGGAUUGUGGGCUGCAACCCGC
rnacentral:rRNA from 1 species